AGCGUACACAGGUGCUGCAUGGCUGUCGUCAGCUCGUGUCGUGAGAUGUUGGGUUAAGUCCCGCAACGAGCGCAACCCUGCAUUCAGUUGCCAUCGGGUAAUGCCGGGCACUCUGGAAGGACUGCCAUCGACAAGAUGGAGGAAGGUGGGGAUGAACGUCAAGUCAUCAUGGCCCUUAUGUCCAGGGCGACACACGGUGCUACAAUGGCCGGCACAACGGGAAGCGAGUUCGCGAGGACGAGGCGGAUCCCUCAAAGCCGGUCGCAGUUCGGAUUGAAGUCUGCAACUCGACUUCAUGAAGCUGGAAUCGCUAGUAAUCGUGGAUCAGCCAAGCCGCGGUGAAUACGUUCCCGGGCCUUG
rnacentral:rRNA from 1 species